rnacentral:rRNA from 1 species
AACGGGUGUUAGAGUAACUGUUGACAUCGUGACGGUAUCCAACCAGAAAGCCACGGCUAACUACGUGCCAGCAGCCGCGGUAAUACGUAGGUGGCAAGCGUUGUCCGGAUUUAUUGGGCGUAAAGCGAGCGCAGGCGGUUUUUUAGGUCUGAUGUGAAAGCCUUCGGCUUAACCGGAGAAGUGCAUCGGAAACCGGGAGACUUGAGUGCAGAAGAGGACAGUGGAACUCCAUGUGUAGCGGUGAAAUGCGUAGAUAUAUGGAAGAACACCAGUGGCGAAGGCGGCUGUCUGGUCUGCAACUGACGCUGAGGCUCGAAAGCAUGGGUAGCGAACAGGAUUAGAUACCCUGGUAGUCCAUGCCGUAAACGAUGAGUGCUAAGUGUUGGAGGGUCUCCGCCCUUCAGUGCUGCAGCUAACGCAUUAAGCACUCCGCCUGGGUAGUACGACCGCAAGGUUGAAACUCAAAGGAAUUGACGGGGGCCCGCACAAGCGGUGGAGCAUGUGGUUUAAUUCGAUGCUACGCGAAGAACCUUACCAGGUCUUGACAUCUUCUGCUAACCUAAGAGGUUAGGCGUUCCCUUCGGGGACGGAAUGACAGGUGGUGCAUGGUUGUCGUCAGCUCGUGUCGUGAGAUGUUGGGUUAAGUCCCGCAACGAGCGCAACCCUUAUUGUCAGUUGCCAGCAUUUAGUUGGGCACUCUGGCGAGACUGCCGGUGACAAACCGGAGGAAGGUGGGGAUGACGUCAAAUCAUCAUGCCCCUUAUGACCUGGGCUACACACGUGCUACAAUGGACGGUACAACGAGUCGCGAAACCGCGAGGUCAAGCUAAUCUCUGAAAGCCGUUCUCAGUUCGGAUUGCAGGCUGCAACUCGCCUGCAUGAAGUUGGAAUCGCUAGUAAUCGUGGAUCAGCAUGCCACGGUGAAUACGUUCCCGGGCCUUGUACACACCGCCCGUCACACCAUGAGAGUUUGUAACACCCAAAGCCGGUGAGGUAACCUUCGGGGGCCAGCCGUCUAAGGUGGGACAGAUGAUUAGGGUGAAGUCGUAACAAGGUAGCCGUAGGAGAACCUGCGGCUGGAUCACCUCCUUUCUAA